AACGAACGCUGGCGGCAUGCCUAACACAUGCCAGUCGAACGAGACCUUCGGGUCUAGUGGCGCACGGGUGCGUAACGCGUGGGAACCUGCCCUUAGGUUCGGAAUAACUCCCCGAAAGGGGUGCUAAUACCGGAUAAUGUCUUCGGACCAAAGAUUUAUCGCCUUUGGAUGGGCCCGCGUUGGAUUAGCUAGUUGGUAGGGUAAAAGCCUACCAAGGCGACGAUCCAUAGCUGGUCUGAGAGGAUGAUCAGCCACACUGGGACUGAGACACGGCCCAGACUCCUACGGGAGGAAGCAGUGGGGAAUAGUGGAACACGGGGGAAAGCCUGAUCCUGCAAUGCCGCGUGAAUAAUGAAGGCCGGGGGGUUGUAAAGCUCUUGUAACUGGGAAGAUAAUGACGGGACCGGGAGAAUAAGCAACGGCUAACUCCGUG
rnacentral:rRNA from 1 species